AACUAUUGGUCACUGCACAGGACUAGUAACCGUAUUAUACUCUUGUGCGUGUUCCAAUAGUUAU
rnacentral:pre_miRNA from 1 species